AUGAUCUGGGGAGGAAGUGGGUGACACAAGGGGGCAAGUUACUGGCAAGGCCUUUGGGUGCUGGGUGGAGCAACUGGGGCCACCUCUGGGAUUUUUUUUAGCCACUUUCUUUUAGCCACAUUUAAGGGCUUAGUUUCAACAGAAUACCAGCCUGUUCCAGAUCUGCCUUAGGGUAAAAACGACACAACUACAGCCCUAAACAUUCUACAGUACUUUGCGGUUUAUAAAUAAUCCUUUCGUGAUGCUGACAACUUCUACUUAUUAAGGGCCAGCACGUGCCAGGCUGUUUCAGGCACUGUGUAUGGUCUACCUCAUUUAAUCAUCGAAAUAACUCUCAGGGCUAUGUUCUAUAACUCUUCCCAUGUUACGGAUGAGGAAACGGGCUCGGCGAGGUUAAGUUAUCAGUUAAGGCCAUAGAGCUCUUGAAUACUGGAGCUGCAUCUCAAACCCAGAGUCUCUGGCUAUAAAUCCUGGUUUUAGGAAGCGCUGGCAGAGUCUGUGAAGCGGGCAGGUACCAAGAGCCGUCCGGGAAGGCGUCUGCUCGUCUGUACUGCUUCCUACGUGGGGCACAGCCAUUUGGAUAUAAUGAGUCCGUUUAUACACUGGUGUCUGGGCUCCCAACCUCUUGUAGGCAGGAAGCAGCUAAGAAAACGGCUGAGCCACUGAUCUGAGUGUAUCCUUCGAUGUCUUUGUAGACCAGACAGGAUGAGAAAGCGGGAGGCCGAGAGCCAGGGGGAGUGAUGAACUGAUGUGCCACGCCCUCGGGCAGACCAGGGCCGGAGGGAGGCGUACCCCCAUCUCCCGAGUCCCGUACCAGCCGUCUGUGCCCCCACAGGGUGUGUUCGACCCGUGACUUGUUUGCUUGGUUCGUAGGUCUCCAGCUUCGAAGCAGCUGAAUCUGGGUUGAACGUACUUCGAGCUGUGGGUGGGAUGAGACGCUUGGGGGGUCUCUGGGUGGAGUGAGUGUGCACGGCAAAAGGGACAUGGAUUUUGUGACCAAAAGGGACGACCGAAUGUGCUCAUCGCUCCCCGCAUGCAGUCCUUUGUUGUGUGACUCCUCAUCCCUCCCAGGACAGGGAGAAUAUACUUCCCACCCUGGCUGUGGCUGACUGUGCGCCUGGCUUUGGCCAAUGACGGGUGAGGAGGGAGUGGGUAGUGACAGGUGUCAGGGCGGAGCCUGGGCCCUCGUCCACACCACUGCUUCCUCUUGCUCUCCUCUGCUUCUGUCCUGGCUGUGAGUAGCUGACGUGCCUUCAGUCUGGCCCCAGAAUGAACACAUUGCACGGACUAGAUCCCCACCCAUAGCUCGAGAUGGGGUCACUGCAGAUGCACGCGUGAGAAAGAGACUGCGGUAUGAUGAAACGUAUGUGUGGCCUUUGACCCUGGUUCCUGGCACAAAGCUUGGAGCGUCGUCGUUAGGCUAAUGAGGUGAUGAGCCACACCACUGUACAGAUGGAGGCUGGUGGCCAGAAAAGCCAACCAUGUGAACCAUGGGACUUUCAGCCCCACCUUCAGCCUCCCUCGGGGCGAGGGAGGAACUCUAUGCACCUGACUGGUGCAUCCACUGAUGUGCUGGGAGUGAGUGUGGCGGGCGGAGAGGGCAUGGAGGUCUGCACACCCCUCCUACACAGGCCUUGUUACCCUCCGUAUCUCUUCAUCUGGCUGUUCAUUUGUCUCCUUUAUGAUAAACCAGUAAUUGGAAGUACAGCGCUUUGCUGAGUUUUAUGAAAAUCAUCCGACCCGAGGGCAGUCAUGGGAAUCCCUAAAUGUGUAGUAGGCUGGACAGGAGUGCAGUAACUUGGGCGUACCUGAAACUUCACUGGUAUCUGGAGUGGGGGCACUCUAGUGGGGCUGAGUCCUUGGCUUGUGAGGUCUGUGCCAACUCUGAGUAGACAGUGUCAGAAUUGAAUGGAACUGAAUUGAAUUGAACUGAAUUGAAUUGAAUUGAAUUGAACUGAAUUGAAUUGAAGAACACCCCUGUGGCGUCAGAGAAUUGCCUGUGGAACACAGAAAUAAUCCUGCUCAGAGGCACAGAGUUUUGGGGUGGCUGGCUUCUCAACAGUAAUUAACUGACACACCAUGUAAGGGACAGUUUAGGGCAUAGAGGUAGCAGGGGGUGACUGCAACUUUUCUUCAGCAAGAGACUAUUUGAGAGGUGUGAGAAGAGGACACACGUAUACACACACAUGCGCAUGCACGCACACACACACUCGUGGGAGGCACACUCCAGGGAACAGGAAGACAGUGAGUAACCUGCUCCGUGCUGAGUUCCUGGCUCCCCACCCACUAGCUCCAUCCACAAAGGCAACCAUAUUCGACCCCUCUGCUUACGUUUUGCCGGGCAAUGCAAAUCCUUUUGCACUGGCCCCCAGAGCACAAGAGGGGAGAGUGACAAGGCACAGAAACGGCGCCCAAGGCAACAAGGUGCGCCUCAGCCGGCCAGAGGCCCUGGUCUGGGCCAGGGUGACGAACUGCAGUGCGGGAGGCCAGGGUCUACCUACCUUCUGCAGGAUGGUCGUGGCCAGUUCGUCCGUCAGCUCCUCCUUGUGGUCCCGCAGGUAACUGGCCUCAUUCUGCUUGUCCUGCGGAGGAAGGGAAGAGAAGGGGCGCAUGCUGUGGGUGGGUCGGGGGACCCGGCAAUCACUUUCUUGGGAGUUCUGACCACAGAGGCAGAGGGAGGGUGGGCCCGGCCCCAGUCAAGGACAGACACCAUGAGGCCGGUUUGCUGACAACCUAUACUUUGUCCUGGCGGCCAGGACCUUGACCCGCACCUCCCCCCAGGGAGGAGAAGGGCGUCGUACCAGACUGUCCCCAUAGGCUUCUGCUUUGGAAAUUGCCUCCUCGAUGGCCUCUUCAGCCACCCGCAGGGCGACAGCCAAUGUGUCCAUCAUGCUGUGUCCUAGACAGGAAACAGAAGACAGACCACUUUCGGAAAGGGAAAGACAGGUCAUUCUCAGAGAGCACGACUGGAUCACACGGUCCCUCUUGUGCCCUAACACUGAGCAUGGCUCCCGACACACAGAGUGGCUUAUGGAUAACUUCACAGAAGGACUCCAUGUAAGGAAAUACUGGUUCUUCUAAACCAAGUCUAUCACUAACAACUCUGACCAAGUUCACCGAGCUCAACCACCUGUUGGCCCCAGACUGAGUGUCACAUCCAUGGCCACAGUCAAUCUCUACAAGAAUCCACUGAGUAGGUGCCAUCUGACAGACAAGAGAACUGAAGCACAGAGAGGUCAAGCAACUUGGCCAAGGUAACUCAGGGAGACAGGAAGAGAGAUGAAGUUGGGAUCCAGACUGUCUCCAAAGCCCUCGAUUUUAACCGCAAAAGCAAGACAAAUACAAGCUAACGUGA